UGAACGCUGGCGGCAGGCUUAACACAUGCAAGUCGAGCGGGGGAAGGUAGCUUGCUACUGGACCUAGCGGCGGACGGGUGAGUAAUGCUUAGGAAUCUGCCUAUUAGUGGGGGACAACAUCUCGAAAGGGAUGCUAAUACCGCAUACGUCCUACGGGAGAAAGCAGGGGAUCUUCGGACCUUGCGCUAAUAGAUGAGCCUAAGUCGGAUUAGCUAGUUGGUGGGGUAAAGGCCUACCAAGGCGACGAUCUGUAGCGGGUCUGAGAGGAUGAUCCGCCACACUGGGACUGAGACACGGCCCAGACUCCUACGGGAGGCAGCAGUGGGGAAUAUUGGACAAUGGGGGGAACCCUGAUCCAGCCAUGC
rnacentral:rRNA from 1 species